rnacentral:rRNA from 1 species
GGCCCCUGGACAAGACUGACGCUCAGGUGCGAAAGCGUGGGGAGCAAACAGGAUUAGAUACCUGGUAGUCACGCUGUAAACGAUGUCGAUUUGGAGGUUGUGCCCUUGAGGCGUGGCUUCCGGAGCUAACGCGUUAAAUCGACCGCCUGGGGAGUACGGCCGCAAGGUUAAAACUCAAAUGAAUUGACGGGGGCCCGCACAAGCGGUGGAGCAUGUGGUUUAAUUCGAUGCAACGCGAAGAACCUUACCUACUCUUGACAUCCAGAGAACUUAGCAGAGAUGCUUUGGUGCCUUCGGGAACUCUGAGACAGGUGCUGCAUGGCUGUCGUCAGCUCGUGUUGUGAAAUGUUGGGUUAAGUCCCGCAACGAGCGCAACCCUUAUCCUUUGUUGCCAGCGAUUCGGUCGGGAACUCAAAGGAGACUGCCGGUGAUAAACCGGAGGAAGGUGGGGAUGACGUCAAGUCAUCAUGGCCCUUACGAGUAGGGCUACACACGUGCUACAAUGGCGUAUACAAAGAGAAGCAACCUCGCGAGAGCAAGCGGAACUCAUAAAGUACGUCGUAGUCCGGAUUGGAGUCUGCAACUCGACUCCAUGAAGUCGGAAUCGCUAGUAAUCGUAGAUCAGAAUGCUACGGUGAAUACGUUCCCGGGCCUUGUACACACCGCCCGUCACACCAUGGGAGUGGGUUGCAAAAGAAGUAGGUAGCUUAACCUUCGGGAGGGCGCUUACCACUUUGUGAUUCAUGACUGGGGUGAAGUCGUAACAAGGUAACCA